rnacentral:rRNA from 1 species
UACAGAGGGUGGGAGCGUUAAUCGGAAUUACUGGGCGUAAAGCGUGCGUAGACGGUUAUGUAAGUCAGGUGUGAAAGCCCCGGGCUCAACCUGGGAAUUGCAUUUGAGACUGCAUAGCUAGGGUGCGGAAGAGGGAAGCGGAAUUUCCGGUGUAGCGGUGAAAUGCGUAGAUAUCGGAAGGAACAUCAGUGGCGAAAGCGGCUUCCUGGUCCAGCACCGACGUUCAGGCACGAAAGCGUGGGGAGCAAACAGG